rnacentral:rRNA from 1 species
GACGAACGCUGGCGGCGUGCUUAACACAUGCAAGUCGAACGGUAAGGCUCCAGCUUGCUGGGGUACACGAGUGGCGAACGGGUGAGUAACACGUGGGUGACCUGCCCUGCACUUCGGGAUAAGCCUGGGAAACUGGGUCUAAUACCGGAUAGGACCAUGGUGUGGAUACUGUGGUGGAAAGUUUUUUCGGUGUGGGAUGGGCCCGCGGCCUAUCAGCUUGUUGGUGGGGUAAUGGCCUACCAAGGCGGCGACGGGUAGCCGGCCUGGGAGGGUGGACGGCGAGAUUGGGAUGGGGACUCGGCAGAGACGCAGAGGGGAGGGAGGAGUGGAGGAGACUGCACGGUGGGUGGGAGGCACAUGCGGCGGGGGAGUGUGGUGUAUGACGGGCGUGGCUUUGGACUCUCCUUGCACCGGGGGCGAGGGGUUUCUGAGGGUAGAGGAGGAAGAAGAACCGGCUACAUACGUGCCAGCAGCUGCGGUAAUCGCAGGAGGACCACACGUGUGAAC